rnacentral:rRNA from 1 species
CCUAAUACAUGCAAGUCGAGCGGACAGAUGGGAGCUUGCUCCCUGAUGUUAGCGGCGGACGGGUGAGUAACACGUGGGUAACCUGCCUGUAAGACUGGGAUAACUCCGGGAAACCGGGGCUAAUACCGGAUGCUUGUUUGAACCGCAUGGUUCAAAUAUAAAAGGUGGCUUUUAGCUACCACUUACAGAUGGACCCGCGGCGCAUUAGCUAGUUGGUGAGGUAACGGCUCACCAAGGCAACGAUGCGUAGCCGACCUGAGAGGGUGAUCGGCCACACUGGGACUGAGACACGGCCCAGACUCCUACGGGAGGCAGCAGUAGGGAAUCUUCCGCAAUGGACGAAAGUCUGACGGAGCAACGCCGCGUGAGUGAUGAAGGUUUUCGGAUCGUAAAACUCUGUUGUUAGGGAAGAACAAGUACCGUUCGAAUAGGGCGGUACCUUGACGGUACCUGACCAGAAAGCCACGGCUAACUACGUGCCAGCAGCCGCGGUAAUACGUAGGUGGCAAGCGUUGUCCGGAAUUAUUGGGCGUAAAGCGCGCGCAGGCGGUUUCUUAAGUCUGAUGUGAAAGCCCCCGGCUCAACCGGGGAGGGUCAUUGGAAACUGGGGAACUUGAGUGCAGAAGAGGAGAGUGGAAUUCCACGUGUAGCGGUGAAAUGCGUAGAGAUGUGGAGGAACACCAGUGGCGAAGGCGACUCUCUGGUCUGUAACUGACG